CGCACAUUGCGCCUAUAGGUAUUCCUUUAGGCAUGUCCUUUUGAGGGGCUUAUCAUCGUAGCCGAAGUGCUGUGUUGGAUCAAACCAUCAACGGGUUAAUCCUAAAUGAAGUGCGCGACGCAGCGAACAGUAUACGCAAACGUCGACGCAAAAUCCAGUCGUUCGCGGCUAUUAAUUUUGCCCUCAGAGAGAUAAGAUUACCCGCUGAACUUAA
rnacentral:misc_RNA from 1 species